rnacentral:rRNA from 1 species
GGAUAUUGGUCAAUGGGGGAAACCCUGAACCAGCAACGCCGCGUGAGGGAAGACGGUUUUCGGAUUGUAAACCUCUGUCCUCUGUGAAGAUGAUGACGGUAGCAGAGGAGGAAGCUCCGGCUAACUACGUGCCAGCAGCCGCGGUAAUACGUAGGGAGCGAGCGUUGUCCGGAUUUACUGGGUGUAAAGGGUGCGUAGGCGGUUACUUAAGUCAGCGGUCAAAUGGCGGGGCUCAACCCCGUCCAGCCGUUGAAACUGGGUAGCUUGAGUCGGCGAGAAGUACGCGGAAUGCGCGGUGUAGCGGUGAAAUGCAUAGAUAUCGCGCAGAACUCCGAUUGCGAAGGCAGCGUACCGGCGCCGCACUGACGCUGAGGCACGAAAGCGUGGGUAUCGAACAG